GACGAACGCUGGCGGCGUGCCUAAUACAUGCAAGUAGAACGCUGAAGGAGGAGCUUGCUUCUCUGGAUGAGUUGCGAACGGGUGAGUAACGCGUAGGUAACCUGCCUGGUAGCGGGGGAUAACUAUUGGAAACGAUAGCUAAUACCGCAUAAGAGUAGAUGUUGCAUGACAUUUGCUUAAAAGGUGCAAUUGCAUCACUACCAGAUGGACCUGCGUUGUAUUAGCUAGUUGGUGAGGUAACGGCUCACCAAGGCAACGAUACAUAGCCGACCUGAGAGGGUGAUCGGCCACACUGGGACUGAGACACGGCCCAGACUCCUACGGGAGGCAGCAGUAGGGAAUCUUCGGCAAUGGACGGAAGUCUGACCGAGCAACGCCGCGUGAAUGAAGAAGGUUUUCGGAUCGUAAAGCUCUGUUGUAAGAGAAGAACGAGUGUGAGAGUGGAAAGUUCACACUGUGACGGUAUCUUACCAGAAAGGGACGGCUAACUACGUG
rnacentral:rRNA from 1 species